rnacentral:rRNA from 1 species
GGGAGGUAGUGACAAUAAAUAACAAUACAGGGCCUUUCAGGUCUUGUAAUUGGAAUGAGUACAAUUUAAAUCUCUUAACGAGGAACAAUUGGAGGGCAAGUCUGGUGCCAGCAGCCGCGGUAAUUCCAGCUCCAAUAGCGUAUAUUAAAGUUGUUGCAGUUAAAAAGCUCGUAGUUGAAUUUUAGGCCUGGCCGGGCGGUCCGUCUUUGGCGAGUACUGUUCUGUGUCGGGUCUUACCUUCUGGUGGACCGGCACGUUCUUUUAUCGCGUGUGCCGUGGGAACCAGGACCAUUACCUUGAAAAAUUAGAGUGUUUAAAGCGGGCUUUUGCUUGAAUAGAUUAGCAUGGAAUAAUAAAAUAGGACGUUGGUUCUAUUUUGUUGGUCUAGGACCACCGUAAUGAUUAAUAGGGAUAGUUGGG